CCCCUCUCAGGGUUGCUCCUGGAGAGUUUCCAGGACUCUACCAGUCGACUAUAGGAGGGAGAGUCAAGCAGAGGCGUAUACCCAUUUCAUUCCUAGCUCGGCCAGGGGCUAGUGAGUGGAAGGCCAUCUGCUACACGU